rnacentral:lncRNA from 1 species
UGGCGAUCCCGAUUCUCCCUCUUUCAGCUCUCACUCCUCCAGUGCCGACGGUAGAGAAAGACUUUACUCCAGGUCUUCCUCCUCACUGGGGAAUUGCCGGAAAGAGCAAACAAAAAAGGCGCUGGUGUAGGCUCCAAAAUAAACACAUCUGAAUUCAUGAUGGCAUCGACAGAGGCUCUUAUUGGAUUAAAAGUUUCAAAACAAACAAUAACGCUUUGGAAAAAGGUCAGAUUGGCUAAAGUUGGUUCUUGAAAGCAGUGUGUACACUUCCCUGUUUACUGUUAAAUGUGUUGUCAAUGCGGGGCAAUGCUGUGAGCUUCUUAGGAUAAGUUCCUGCAGUUUCAAGGCAUAUGCAACUAUGAAUAUAAAACUUUAGAUAAGUGGAGGUGCACUGGACUUAAAGCAUUGUCUUCCUUAUGGGAUUUCUGCAAACUGUACUCUAUAAACUAUUAAAAACAAUUGGAUGCAGUCGCAUUCUUUCAAUGUAUUUGUAAAUGUUCUAUUGUUACCAGCUCUAGGGAAGUAAAUUUCAGGAUCAAAGUAUCAUCACCACUCUGAAAUUCCCAACCUCGAAUUCGAAUAGUGGCAGAUUUCAUGACCUUUCCUAACUUUGAGAACUGAAUUUUGAAGUUCUCUGUGUUUUGAUCUGAUUCCUGGCACAGCUGCAGAAUUUUUCUUAAUGUAGGGUUUGCCUCAGAGUGCCAUAUCCAAAGGCUUACUGUGGGAGCUCUGACUUCUAAACUUAAAAAUUGGCCUGCAUUCAUAUGGGAUAUUAGUCACUUUACAAAGUAAUAAGCAUAACUCAAGCAGCAUGUUUUAAAACUUUAAGAGGUAUAUCCAGUCAAUCUAUCUGUGUGUAGAUACAUUUAUUCAAAAAGCUUUCCUCCUUCAAAGUUGUAAUGUUGUCAUAGGAUUUUAUAUUCAGUCUGCAAAUACAUUGCCAUUAACGUCCCUCCUCCCUUUUGUCAAACUUCUGUUUUGCUGUUGUAUAAAGAAAGCAUGAUCAUAGUUUGAAUUUUUAGGAGUCUAAAGAUUGCUUUUUUGAUGUUAACUAUCUUGCUGUGAAACAGACUAAAAAACCUGUAGGUAAUAUGAUUUCCAUAUCUCAACAUCAGGUAUCUCUUUGUACUUGGAGAUUUUACCAAAUGAUAUUUUUAAGUAUGUUUGAACUAAAAAGCAUCAGGGUAAUAAAAUUAUGAUUAAUGAGAACAUGGUUUCUUUCAGCAGGGUUGAAUGCCUGCCUGCACCUUCAGGCACGACCAUGGAGAAAGGUGGGAACAUACAAUUGGAGAUCCCUGACUUCAGCAACUCAGUCCUCAGCCAUCUAAAUCAACUGCGCAUGCAGGGCCGUCUCUGUGAUAUUGUGGUCAAUGUGCAAGGACAAGCUUUUCGGGCUCAUAAAGUGGUACUGGCGGCCAGCUCCCCCUAUUUCCGGGAUCAUAUGUCCUUGAAUGAAAUGAGUACUGUCUCCAUUUCAGUCAUCAAGAACCCUACUGUUUUUGAACAGCUUCUUUCUUUCUGUUACACGGGGCGGAUAUGCCUGCAGCUGGCAGAUAUCAUCAGCUACCUAACAGCUGCCAGUUUUCUGCAAAUGCAGCAUAUUAUAGACAAAUGUACACAGAUCCUAGAGGGUAUUCAUUUCAAAAUUAAUGUGGCUGAGGUUGAAGCAGAAUUAAGUCAAACAAGGACAAAGCAUCAAGAUAGGCCUCCUGAGUCUCACAGGGUUACACCAAAUCUAAACCGCUCCCUUAGCCCACGACAUAAUACCCCAAAGGGAAACCGGCGAGGGCAGGUCAGUGCUGUGCUAGAUAUCAGAGAGCUAAGUCCCCCUGAGGAGUCCACCAGCCCUCAGAUAAUUGAACAGAGUUCUGAUGUAGAAAGCCGGGAGCCCAUUCUUCGAAUCAACCGAGCAGGACAGUGGUAUGUGGAGACAGGAGUAGCAGACCGGGGUGGCCGGAGUGAUGAUGAAGUUAGGGUUCUUGGAGCAGUGCACAUCAAAACUGAAAAUCUCGAGGAGUGGCUUGGGCCUGAGAAUCAGCCUUCUGGAGAAGAUGGGAGUAGUGCAGAGGAAGUCACAGCCAUGGUAAUUGACACCACAGGCCAUGGUUCUGUAGGACAGGAGAGUUACACCUUAGGGUCUUCAGGAGCCAAGGUGGCUCGGCCAACAAGCAGUGAAGUUGACAGGUAAGUUCUGAGUUUUUUUCCCUUCUAAUGGCUCUUGUAGACAUCACUAAGAGGGUCCUCUGUGUGGUACAGACAUGUUUACCACAUGUACUUAGCCAGAAUAAGUUGAUGUUGGGGAUUUGAGGUGUCCAAAAGACCUGUAUCCUUAUUUUUUUAAAAGCAGGAAGCUCCUAGUCAUGAUGUAUUCACAAUGCUGUGAGAACUAGGGUAAAGUUAGACACCUACAUGAAUCAACAUCCGCAGCCACACUAGGAUCAGUCAUUGCCAGGGCUUUCUCAGGAUUCCCGGCAAGGAACUGAUCAUCAGUUGGGAACCUGGCAGCAUUGCCCUUCCUUGGUUAUCACACAGGUAUGUGCCUUGGGGAGUUAAACUUUCCUUUGUGGCACUAUAUGCUUUUCUUUGCGCCCACCUAACAAACUAGAAGAAGUGUGGUAUCAUCAGUGAUUGUUUGUUUCACAUUAGUGUCAACAUAGUACACUGAAUCCAAAGAAAAGCUUUUUGGUUAUUCUUCAUUCUUAUUUUCAUUUGUCAUUUGGUGGUCUCUUAUCUGUUCUCUGUCAAAGAUGAAUGCUGCUACUGCAGACCUGAGACUGUCCUUUUUCACCAGUGGUACUGUGCCCUGUGCCUCACUUCUGUCUUCCUAAUACAUCAAAUUUUUUAGAACAUUUAUCUUUGAUGGAAAUAGCACUAAUUUUAAUCUAAGCCAAUUGAAACAAAGAAAUAAUUUAUAUUGUAAUAUUUGUUCUUUCUCCUCUUAAAAGUAAAUAAAAAUUAGCCAGGCAUGGUGGUGCACAUCUGUAACCCCAACAACUAAGAAGGCUGUGGGGCAGGAGGAUUACAAGUUCAAAGCCAGCCUCAGCAACUUAGCAAGACCCUGUCUCAAAUUGAAAAAAAAAAAAAAAGAUGGGCUGGGGAUGUGGCUCGGUGGGUAAAUGCCACUGGGUUCAAUCCCUGGUGCCAAAAAUUUAAUUAAUUAAUUAAUUAAUUAAAAUUGAGCGAUGAAAACUAAGGAUACCAUUUCUUUGGCAUAUAGCUGAUCUUUAGAGACACUACUGUUUCACACAUUCAGAUACUACACUGUAUCUACUUAAGGUGGUUUUGAUUUAAGUACUUAACUAUUAAGUGUGCCUUUAAUAGUUAAAAUAUUCUCGAGGGCUGGGGUAGUAACUCAGUGGUAGAAUGCUUGCCUAGCACAUGUGAGGCCCUGGUAUUAUGUCCAUCUAUAACUAAAAAAUAGAUAUUAAAAAUAUAUAUGUAUAUAUAUUUUUGAACAUUCAACUUAUUGGUCCCAAUGUUAGCACUGUAUUUUCCUAUGUUAGAACUUCAACAAAAAUAUCAAUUUAAAUGCAAGGAUUGUAUUUUCUAUGAUGUAUGUCAACAGUCUGAAAUACUUAACAGGUUAUAAUGGGGUCUAGGGGAAAAAACAACCAAAAACCCAAUGUUACAGAACCAUUUUUUAUUUAUUCUUUUACCCCUUUUCCAGUACUUAUGCAGGGGUAGAAAGCUUAUAUUUAGCUAUAGUUUCACCAGCUCAUAGGAUUUACUAUGCAUUUUGUACUUUUUUAAAUUUACUAGGACAGACCUUUUUACCUUAUUUCAAACCAGGUUAUAUAUUGACUGUGAAAGUAUUUUUCAGUCAUCAGUUGCUUGGUUGUCCCUUCCUCAGCCACUACUUUUCUAUAGUACCUUUAUGCUCCUCUCCAACAGAUUCAGCCCCUCCGGCAGUGUUGUCCCCUUGGCUGAGAGACACAGAGCCCGAAGUGAGUCUCCUGGGAGAGUGGAUGAGCCCAAGCAGCCAAGCUCCCAGGUAUGUUGUUGUGGGCUUACAGCUGCUGUAUAACUGGAGGAAUUACCAACUGACUGAACAGAAUUUAAUGAAUGAAAG